GAUGAACGCUGGCAGCAUGCUUAACACAUGCCAGUCUUUCGCGAAGCUGUGCUUGCACCGCCUAGCCAAGGCGGACGGGUGAGUAACGCGUAAGGAACUUGCCCUGCAGUCAGGGAUAACAGACGGAAACGACUGCUAAGACCUGGUAAAGUCAGACUGACUCCUGUACAGCCUGAUGAAAAGAGAUGCUGCAGGAGAGCCUUGCGUCCUAUUAGCUUGUUGGUGGGGUAACGGCCCACCAAGGCGAUGAUAGGUAGCCGGCCUGAGAGGGUGGACGGCCACAAGGGGACUGAGAUACGGCCCUUACUCCUACGGGAGGCAGCAGUGGGGAAUAUUGGACAAUGGGGGCAACCCUGAUCCAGCAAUUCUGUGUGCACGAUGAAGGUUUUCGGAUUGUAAAGUGCUUUCAGCAGGGAAGAAAAAAAUGACGGUACCUGCAGAAGAAGCGACGGCUAAAUACGUG
rnacentral:rRNA from 1 species